rnacentral:rRNA from 1 species
UACGUAGGGUGCGAGCGUUGUCCGGAAUUAUUGGGCGUAAAGGGCUCGUAGGCGGUCUGUCGCGUCGGGAGUGAAAACUCAGGGCUUAACCCUGAGCCUGCUUCCGAUACGGGCAGACUAGAGGUAUGCAGGGGAGAACGGAAUUCCUGGUGUAGCGGUGAAAUGCGCAGAUAUCAGGAGGAACACCGGUGGCGAAGGCGGUUCUCUGGGAAUGACCUGACGCUGAGGAGCGAAAGUGUGGGAGCGAACAGG